rnacentral:lncRNA from 1 species
GCUGAAUCUAGAUUGAGUUUGAUUUAAAGUUCUUAAAGUUUCACCAAGGGCUGAAUUUGUUACUUACCAUUAUGCAAUUGGUAUAAAUCAAGUAACUUUUAUCAUUAUAAUUGGUUUAGUUGGUUAUAAUUAUUAAUUACACAGUGACAAGUUUUAGAGUUCCACCGUCCAUUAGUUUUGAAGAUGCUGCAGUAUCUUCUACAAAUUGGACAGUAGAACAAAAAAAUAUAUUCAUAGAUUUAAUGAUGGAGCAAGUUCAAAAAGGAAAUAGAUCAACCAC